AAUGAACGCUGGCGGCAUGCCUAACACAUGCAAGUCGAACGAGACCUUCGGGUCUAGUGGCGCACGGGUGCGUAACGCGUGGGAAUCUGCCCUUGGGUUCGGAAUAACAGUUAGAAAUGACUGCUAAUACCGAAUGAUGUCGUAAGACCAAAGAUUUAUCGCCCAGGGAUGAGCCCGCGUAAGAUUAGGUAGUUGGUGUGGUAAAGGCGCACCAAGCCGACGAUCUUUAGCUGGUCUGAGAGGAUGAUCAGCCACACUGGGACUGAGACACGGCCCAGACUCCUACGGGAGGCAGCAGUGGGGAAUAUUGGACAAUGGGCGAAAGCCUGAUCCAGCAAUGCCGCGUGAGUGAUGAAGGCCUUAGGGUUGUAAAGCUCUUUUACCCGGGAUGAUAAUGACAGUACCGGGAGAAUAAGCUCCGGCUAACUCCGUGACAGCCGCCGCGGUAAU
rnacentral:rRNA from 1 species